UUUUCUUUCAUUAAAUCCUUUUAUAUUUGGGCUUGCCUAUUAAAGAAGGAUAAAGUCCAAAUCAAAUUAUAAUAUUUGGGCCCUAUUUUCAGUUCUAAAAAGCAGCCCAAAGAGAUAUUUUUAUUCACCACGAUCCCACUUCUUUUCCGUUACAAACGUGAUUCUGUUCCACUAAAUGCACUUUUAAAUCCCACAAUGAAUCCCAACAAUGUUGCUAUCAUAUAACCUACUCCAUUCACUUUUCUUGAUUUCAUCAAUGGCGGCCGAUUCAUCAUCUUCCGAUGCCAAAGUCCACAUAAUUUACACCGAACAGCAGGGAUGGCGGACAACGGCUGCUCGGCUGAAUGGCGGUGACAGCAGCAGCGGAUGGCGGAGCAGCAGCGUCCGUGCUGCAGCGGGGAUCUCAGCGGCUGUCUCGAUCUGGAGCAGCGGCGGCUGACCCGGCAGCGACGACGCCGACAGAUCUUGGACAGCAGCGGCGCUGACUCCGUGUUAGCGGCGGCGACCACGGCGAUGAAAACGGCUUCGAAACGACAGCGGGGCAGGUCAAGGGCAGUCUGACGAAGCGAUUCAUGGAGAUGCAGCGACGGCUGGAGUCCGCGAGGGCGGCGGCGUCUCGCACGCCAGUGAGCGGUGGAGGAAAAAGGCGAGGGCGGCGCCAGAGUUUCGCGAUGAUGAUGACGGGGUGCGACUCGGGCAGCGCUGAAAUUUCGUUGAGAAGAGAGGGAACGCAGCAGCGAGAUCGAUGGAGAGAUGAAGGAGGGAAGCGAGUUCUUUUUCAAGUUUUGGAUCGGAGAUGUCGACGAAUUUGAGAGAGAGCAGCAACGAAAAGUAGAGAGGCGGCGGUGGCUGGAGAGGAGAGAGAUACGGGUGAGGAGAGAGUGAGAGGGUUUAGUUUCUCUGAAUUUGGGAAUUCUCAAUUAGGAAGAAAUGAGAGAGAAAUAGGUGAUGCUGCCAAUUUGAUAGUAUUUGAGAGCGUGAAGAGAGAAGAUGGGGAUUGGACUCUGAAUUGGAAAUUUCGAAUGGGAAGAAAUUGAGGAGAGAGAAAUGGGCGUGAGUUUUGGAGAAGAAAGCAUUUGGGGAGUUUUAGCUCCUUUUAUUUCUUCUUGGGCCUUUUUAAAUAGGUGGGUUAGGGAGUAUUAAAUUGGGCUGCUUUUGAUAAAUGAUAGACCAACAUAUUGAUCUAAGUGUUGGGCUGAAGGAGAAGGAUGCACAGACUGCUCUAAUUAAAUCCUGGGAAUGCGAAACUAGCCGGACAAAGAUGACGUUCUAAGUCACGAAAAAUUUCAGAAUUUCGUAAAUAUGGUGUGAUUUCUGCAUGAUAUUUGAGAACGGAACGGAAAGACAAAGUAGAGGAUUUAAGCGAAUGAGGUUGAGCGUUGGUGAAAACGGAGGAUGUUGAGCAUUUGGACAAAGACCGUAUUCAAUAAAUGUUCCGGUUGCUAUUGUGUCUUCACACAUAGUAGUAACCAACUCUCAAAUGCUUCCGCUACUCUAAGUUUAAAACUCUGAUGUUGCUGUAUUCUGUUGGACUAUUUUCAUACCAACUUUUGUGCUUCGUGAUUUCAGACUAUGUUUUGGUAAUAAAGUUUUACCUUUUGAUCUAAA